rnacentral:rRNA from 1 species
GAUGAACGCUGGCGGCGUGCCUAAUACAUGCAAGUCGAGCGAACAGACGAGGAGCUUGCUCCUCUGACGUUAGCGGCGGACGGGUGAGUAACACGUGGAUAACCUACCUAUAAGACUGGGAUAACUUCGGGAAACCGGAGCUAAUACCGGAUAAUAUAUUGAACCGCAUGGUUCAAUAGUGAAAGACGGUUUUGCUGUCACUUAUAGAUGGAUCCGCGCCGCAUUAGCUAGUUGGUAAGGUAACGGCUUACCAAGGCAACGAUGCGUAGCCGACCUGAGAGGGUGAUCGGCCACACUGGAACUGAGACACGGUCCAGACUCCUACGGGAGGCAGCAGUAGGGAAUCUGCCGCAAGGGGCGAAAGCCGGACGGAGAAACGCCGCGUGAGUGAUGAAGGUCUUCGGAUCGUAAAACUCUGUUAUUAGGGAAGAACAAAUGUGUAAGUAACUAUGCACGUCUUGACGGUACCUAAUCAGAAAGCCACGGCUAACUACGUG